UACGGAGGGUGCGAGCGUUGUCCGGAUUUAUUGGGUUUAAAGGGUGCGUAGGUGGCCUGGUAAGUCAGUGGUGAAAUGCGGCCGCUCAACGGUCGAACUGCCAUUGAUACUGCCGGGCUUGAGACAGAUGGAGGCCGCCGGAACGGAUGGUGUAGCGGUGAAAUGCAUAGAUAUCAUCCAGAACACCGAUUGCGAAGGCAGGUGGCUACGCCUGGUCUGACACUGAGGCACGAAAGCAUGGGGAGCAAACAGG
rnacentral:rRNA from 1 species